rnacentral:rRNA from 1 species
AUGCGGCGGCACUACGCCGAGCUCCUCCGCCGUGCCGCCUCGCUGCCGUCUCUCUCGCUCGUGGCCUCCCUCCACGCCGCCGCGCUGCGCCGAGGCGCGGUCCUCGUCCCCUCGCUCAUCCACGCCUACUCCGCGUGCGGCGACCCAGCCUCCGCCCGCAGCGUGUUCGACGGAUUGCCCGCACAGGAGCAGACACUCUCCGCGCGCACCGCGCUGGCCAGCGCUAUGUCCGCGCACGGCAGGUGCCGGGAGGUGUUCGGCCUGUUCCGCGGCUGGGAGGGGGAGAUGGACGACAAGGCGGUGACGGUGGUCCUCGCCGCGUGCGCUAGGGCCGGGAUGAUCAGCGAGGGGAGGGAAGUCUUUGCGAGGGUGCGGAGGCCAGCGUUGCAGCACUACACGUGCAUGGUGGAGAUGCUGGGACGGGCCGGGGAGGUCGAGGAGGCAGAGGGGCUGCUGGCGCGGAUGGAGGCGCGACCGGACAGGAUCAUCUGCACGGUGCUGCUCGCGGCGUGCCGGGUGCAUGGCCGUGUCGAUGUGGCUGAGAGAGUGGCUAGGUUGAUGAGCGAGUAUGGCAUUGUAUGA